rnacentral:rRNA from 1 species
CGCAGCCGCGGUAAUUCCAGCUCCAAUAGCGUAUAUUAAAGUUGUUGCAGUUAAAAAGCUCGUAGUUGAAUUUCGGGACCAAUAUGUUGGUCGUGCCCCGGUACGUACUGGUGUCAUUGGUUUCUCUCUUCUGAGGAUCCUUGAUGUCAUUAAUUUGGUGUCUUGGGAAAUCAGGACUGUUACCUUGAAAAAAUUUAGAGUGUUUAAAGCAGGCAUACGCUUGAAUACAUUAGCAUGGAAUAAUGAAAUAGGACGUUCGAUUCUAUUUUGUUGGUUUCUAGGAUCGACGUAAUGAUUAAUAGGGAUAGUUGGGGGCAUUAGUAUUCAAUUGUCAGAGGUGAAAAUUCUUGGAUUUUAUUGAAGACUAACUACUGCGAAAGCAUUUGCCAAGGAUGUUUUCAUUAAUCAAGAACGAAAGUUAGGGGAUCGAAGACGAUCAGAUACCGUCGUAGUCCUUAACCAUAAACCUAUAGCCGACUAGGGAUCGGAUGGAUGUUAAUUUUUGNGUACUNAUUCGGCG